UAUUAAUUUGGUAUACAUCUUUAAACACAAAAAUAAAUCUAAAAUAUUGUUUUAGAGUAGACAGUCCAAAUCCAAAAAGGUUCCGCAUUCUGCAGAGAACACAAAAGCAAAAGCCUCCUCACAUAUUUCGCCAGAGAACGCAGAGAAAAAAGACGCCCCUCUAGCUCCUCCAGAG